rnacentral:rRNA from 1 species
CUACGGGUGGCUGCAGUGAGGAAUAUUGGUCAAUGGGCGAAAGCCUGAACCAGCCAUGCCGCGUGAAGGAUGACGGCCCUAUGGGUUGUAAACUUCUUUUAUACGGGAAGAAACACCUCUACGUGUAGAGGUUUGACGGUACCGUACGAAUAAGCAUCGGCUAACUCCGUGCCAGCAGCCGCGGUAAUACGGAGGAUGCAAGCGUUAUCCGGAUUUAUUGGGCUUAAAGGGUACGUAGGCGGAAACUUAAGUCAGUAGUGAAAUCCCGCAGCUUAACUGUGGAACUGUUAUUGAUACUGGGUUUCUUGAAUAUUGUUGAGGUAGGCGGAAUAAGUAAUGUAGCGGUGAAAUGCUUAGAUAUUACUUAGAACACCGAUUGCGAAGGCAGCUUACUAAGCAAUUAUUGACGCUGAGGUACGAAAGCGUGGGGAGCGAACAGGAUUAGAUACCCUAGUAGUC